rnacentral:rRNA from 1 species
CCCUUAGAUGUUCUGGGCCGCACACGCGCUACAAUGGUGCAUUCAACAAGUCAACCAAAGCCGAUAGGUGGAGGUAAACUCGUAGUAUUCGCCGUGAUGGGGAUAGACCCUUGUAAUUAUUGGUCUCCAACGAGGAAUUCCUAGUAGACGCAAGUCAUCAACUUGCAUCGAUUACGUCCCUGCCCUUUGUACACACCGCCCGUCGCACCUACCGAUUGAAUGGUCCGGUGAAGUCUUCGGACAGUGGCAGUUUACUGCUACUGAAAGUUGAGUGAACCUUACCAUUUAGAGGAAGGUGAAGUCGUAACA